rnacentral:rRNA from 1 species
AUUGAACGCUGGCGGCAUGCUUUACACAUGCAAGUCGAACGGUAACAGGCCGCAAGGUGCUGACGAGUGGCGAACGGGUGAGUAAUGCAUCGGAACGUGCCCAGUCGUGGGGGAUAACGCAGCGAAAGCUGCGCUAAUACCGCAUACGAUCUAUGGAUGAAAGCGGGGAACCGUAAGGCCUCGCGCGAUUGGAGCGGCCGAUGUCAGAUUAGGUAGUUGGUGAGGUAAAGGCUCACCAAGCCAACGAUCUGUAGCUGGGCUGAGAGAACGACCAGCCACACUGGGACUGGGACACGGCCCAGACUCCUACGGGAGGCAGCAGUGGGGAAUUUUGGACAAUGGGCGCAAGCCUGAUCCAGCAAUGCCGCGUGCAGGAAGAAGGCCUUCGGGUUGUAAACUGCUUUUGUACGGAACGAAACGGCUCUCACUAAUACUGGGGGCUAAUGACGGUACCGUAAGAAUAAGCACCGGCUAACUACGUGCCAGCAGCCGCGGUAAUAC